GCUGGGUGCAAUGGUGCAUGCCUGCAGUCCCAGCUACUAAGGAGGCUGAGGCUGGAGGAUCACUUGGGCCCAGGAGUUCUGGACUGUAGUGCGCUAUUCCGAUCAAGUGUCCGCACUAAGUUUGCCAUCAAUAUGAUGACCUCCCGGGAGUGGGGGACCACCAGGUUGCCUAAGGAGGGGUGAACUGGCCCAGGUAGAAAACAGAGCAGGUCAAAACUCCCAUGCUGAUGAGUAGUGGGACUGAGCCUGUGAAUAGCCACUGUACUCCAGCCUGGGCAACAUAGCGAGACCCCGUCUCU
rnacentral:SRP_RNA from 1 species